UGAAACUGCAGUGCAGAUGUUCUGGUUCU
rnacentral:piRNA from 1 species